GGGGCUGCACUGGUUUCGACGUGGGUUCGGACACGCAGCAGGGCAUGUCGAGGUUCAGUCACCUCGUUAAUCCGCUGAAACCAAGUAACUGCAAACGACGAACGUUUCGCACUCGCCGCUUAAACACCGGUGAGCCUCACAACAGUUGGCCGAUGGGCUGGGCAAGGGGCGCAAGCUCCCGGCUGUGAGGGAAUUCACAUUGGCUGGUCCUGAUCCGGGUGCCUUGGGUCGGGACGAGAAAAUAGGGCACUGGCGGCUGGCAUAGCGUGCGUCUGCGCGAUGCCCGCGGCGAGAUCCAAACCAGAGCGCUAAACAUGUAGAUCUGCGCGGAGAAGGCUUGCGGACGCGGGUUCAAUUCCCGCCAGCUCCACCA
rfam:Ramlibacter tataouinensis TTB310, complete genome.